rnacentral:rRNA from 1 species
UGGGGAAUAUUGCACAAUGGGCGCAAGCCUGAUGCAGCCAUGCCGCGUGUAUGAAGAAGGCCUUCGGGUUGUAAAGUACUUUCAGCGGGGAGGAAGGGAGUAAAGUUAAUACCUUUACUCAUUGACGUUACCCGCAGAAGAAGCACCGGCUAACUCCGUGCCAGCAGCCGCGGUAAUACGGAGGGUGCAAGCGUUAAUCGGAAUUACUGGGCGUAAAGCGCACGCAGGCGGUUUGUUAAGUCAGAUGUGAAACCCCCGGGCUCAACCUGGGAACUGCAUCUGAUACUGGCAAGCUUGAGUCUCGUAGAGGGGGGUAGAAUUCCAGGUGUAGCGGUGAAAUGCGUAGAGAUCUGGAGGAAUACCGGUGGCGAAGGCGGCCCCCUGGACGAAGACUGACGCUCAGGUGCGAAAGCGUGGGGAGCAAACAGG